AGCAGUUGACGAAGCACAAGUUGAGAGUGCACUCUCCCCCGAUUUGAAAAUGACCAAUGCUUCGCCUUGAUGAGGCUAUCCCGGUGUCAGAACACUUCCGUCCACUUGAAAACGAACUCGAACAGAUCGAUGCACUAAAACGGCAACUUCCCUGGGCUUCCAGCGUUCCGCUUUGAACGCAUUGUUCCAAAUGCUCCUCAACGGCCUCAUUUGAAUACUGAGGAUGAUGCAUGCGGAUGCAUGCAGAAAUUCGAUCCACAUUGGGCCGUUGUUUUUGGUAUCGAAUCUUGUGAAUUGCGUCUAGGAGCCAUGAAUGCCAAGUGACCAAUGUCAAGGAGUUCUCCUCAGAGGCCAUGUUUGGCAUAACAAUCAAAACCACAAAAAUCUCUAACCAUCAAUAACGUGGCCUCGCGGUUAUUGACACCUUGGUGUGUGGUGGCCUUGUCUAUCCCGAUUUCUGGUGGAUAUCCCUACAAACCCAUUAUUGACUUGAGAGACAUAGAGUCCAUCGAUUAUGAGCUCUCAGAAUAUGAUGGCUUCAAAAACGACCAGGAUCUGGAUGGUAUUAUGGAUAAUGACAGCCCAUCAGAUCCAAGAAACUCCGAGAUUAUAACAUCUCUCCUGCAAGAAAAUAAAGCACUGAAGCCUGAACGGGGCACGUCAAAUACGGGAAACAAUGUCAAUAUUAUCAUUUUCAAUGGUAGUGCUCGUGCAAGCAAGAGAACACAAAAUGAAGACUCCCAAUAUCCCAGAAGAGGGAAAAAUAUCGAAUCCGAGCGACCCACUACAGAAACGGCGCUUAUCAUCAUUUUUAUUACCCUUCUCAUAGCUUUCACCUACUUCUGCAUCGGACUCUCCUGUUAUCGGCCUUUGAUAGAGACACUCUGUAUUUCAAAUCCACAAGAGGACAUUGAUAAGGAUGAAAAAUAAAGAUGGCGUUCAAGACGA